ACGGAAGGGCAGCAGUGGGGAAUAUUGCACAAUGGGGGAAACCCUGAUGCAGCGACGCCGCGUGAAGGAUGACGUAUUUCGGUAUGUAAACUUCUAUCAGCAAGGAAGAUGAUGACGGUACUUGACUAAGAAGCCCCGGCUAACUACGUGCCAGCAGCCGCGGUAAUACGUAGGGGGCAAGCGUUAUCCGGAUUUACUGGGUGUAAAGGGAGCGUAGACGGCUGUGCAAGUCUGAAGUGAAAGGCUGGGGCUCAACCCCGGGACUGCUUUGGAAACUGUAUGGCUCGAGUGCCGGAGGGGUAAGCGGAAUUCCUAGUGUAGCGGUGAAAUGCGUAGAUAUUAGGAGGAACACCAGUGGCGAAGGCGGCUUACUGGACGGUAACUGACGUUGAGGCUCGAAGGCGUGGGGAGCAAACAGGAUUAGAUACCCUGGUA
rnacentral:rRNA from 1 species